rnacentral:rRNA from 1 species
CACGUAGUUAGCCGGUGCUUCUUCUGCAGGUACCGUCACUUACGCUUCGUCCCUGCUGAAAGAGGUUUACAACCCGAAGGCCGUCAUCCCUCAUGCGGCGUCGCUGCAUCAGGCUUCCGCCCAUUGUGCAAUAUUCCCCACUGCUGCCUCCCGUAGGAGUCUGGGCCGUAUCUCAGUCCCAAUGUGGCCGAUCACCCUCUCAGGCCGGCUACCCGUCGUCGCCUUGGUAGGCCAUCACCCCACCAACAAGCUGAUAGGCCGCGGGCUCAUCCUACACCGAAAAACUUUCCACCAAACCCCAUAAGGAGAAAGGUCAUAUCCAGUAUUAGACCCAGUUUCCCAGGCUUAUCCCAGAGUGCAGGGCAGAUUACCCACGUGUUACUCACCCGUUCGCCACUCGAGUACUCCAGCAAGCUGGAGCCUUUCCGUUCGACUUGCAUGUGUUAAGCACGCCGCCAGCGUUCGUCCUGAGCCAGGAUCAAACUCUA